rnacentral:rRNA from 1 species
UACGUAGGGGGCUAGCGUUGUCCGGAUUUAUUGGGCGUAAAGAGCGUGUAGGCGGCCAAGUAGGUCCGGUGUGAAAACUCGAGGCUUAACCUCGAGAUGUCAUCGGAAACCAUUUGGCUAGAGUCCGGAAGAGGAAAGUGGAAUUCUUGGUGUAGCGGUGAAAUGCGUAGAUAUCAGGAAGAACACCGGUGGCGAAAGCGCUCUGCUAGGCCGUAACUGACACUGAGGGACGAAAGCUAGGGGAGCGAAUGGG